AAAUGCUUAUAGAUUUGAGUUGGUCACUUGUCCUAAGUGCUAUAAGUAACGAAAGUUAAAUUACGUGUUUGAAUUUAAUUGUUAUUUUUCAACUUUUUACUCAGUAGGGACGUAUUUAAACGAGAGUACUAUCUGUAUAUUUUGGAAUGAUAAAUUCGAGUUCCAACUGCUUCAUAACGCGAAGUAUAUAAGCUAUGUGGGAAUAAAUAUUGAUAGAUUAAAUGCUAACAAAGGUCGAUAUAUUGUUGACACGGGAUUGAAGAAAAAAGAGCUUCAAGACAAACAUUUGACUUUGGAUGACCUUGUUAUAAAAUUAAUUUUAUCUAUUGAAGUCACACACUGCGAGACUUUUGUAGUAUUCGACAAAGAUAUCGAUCGAUUUGUGGAUGCGUUUACUAAGGCGUCAGUAUAUUCAAUAUGGAGGUCUUUACACAAUAAAUUUGUUUUUGCUCAUAUAACUAACGAAUUGCAGGAGUCUCGUAACCACUUCUUUGAAGGUAUGUACAAAGACAAAGUGAUAAGCAACUAUUCUUAAAUAUUCAAUUUUCAAUUAUUUUGAUUUGUUAUUAGUAUUUAAUUUUGCUCAUUAACUGUAAUGGCCCUUAAUGAAGGAUGUUAAAAAUCGAAUUCUGAAAUCAUAAGUUCAAUUAUAACUAUUUUUUGAAUACUUA